rnacentral:rRNA from 1 species
AGUGAACGCUGGCGGUAGGCCUAACACAUGCAAGUCGAACGGCAGCACAGUAAGAGCUUGCUCUUACGGGUGGCGAGUGGCGGACGGGUGAGGAAUACAUCGGAAUCUACUUUUUCGUGGGGGAUAACGUAGGGAAACUUACGCUAAUACCGCAUACGACCUACGGGUGAAAGCAGGGGAUCUUCGGACCUUGCGCGAUUGAAUGAGCCGAUGUCGGAUUAGCUAGUUGGCGGGGUAAAGGCCCACCAAGGCGACGAUCCGUAGCUGGUCUGAGAGGAUGAUCAGACACACUGGAACUGAGACACAGUAGAGACUCCGACGGGGGGCAGCAGUGGGGAAUAUUAGGCAAAGGGGGCAAGCCUGAUCCAGCCAUACCGCGUGGGUGAAGAAGGCCUUCGGGUUGUAAAGCCCUUUUGUUGGGAAAGAAAAGCAGCAGGUUAAUACCCCGCUGUUCUGACGGUACCCAAAGAAUAAGCACCGGCUAACUUCGUG